GCACCCAGCGGCAGACGACAAUCUAUAUAAACCGCCGCCGUAUGGGCCACGUUCUCACACCCGCUGCCGCCUGGACGCUACCCCGUGGUCACCACAGCUGAAACAGAGGAUCCGGACGUUCUCCGUCGCCCCAGACACACUCGCCAAUCAUGAAGACGCUGCAGAUCAGUUUCAUUUUCGGCUUCCUCCUCGUGUUUGUCUCUACGGUGGCGAACGGUUUCCACUUUUACGGCCCUUAUGACAUCUUUAAGGCCAGGGCUGCUCGCUGGCCCACGGGGGGCAGUGCUAGCGCAGAGGCUGUGGACCGAGACUUCCUGAACCGAGCGUCCGACGAGCAGGACUACUACAAGGUCAUCUCCUACCUCAACAGCGUGGGGCGACGCAGACGAUAGCCGGCGAGUCUGCGCGGGAGUGGCAAGACUGAACAUCUGCAACUACAAACACAGCACUGUCCAAAUGGCACCCGCGUGCCCAAAAACAACAGGUUUUUUAUCGAGUCGAAGGCAGUGUUGUUCGGUUGUUCGUUUGGGUUUUUUUCAUUUACUUUUGCCUAUGCGCACUUAUGAUAAAUUAUUUUACAGGACAAUCUUGACGACAUAACGGAUCCAUAAUUUCGCUUGACAUUAGAAAAGUAUUAUUAUCUUGUUUUGCGGUUUAAGCAUGGAAGUGUGAAUGAGUAUGAAGAAGGCUCACAAUACAACAUGAGGAGGAACAUAAUGUUGUUGUGAAUCGGGCCAAAUCAACCAGUCAUUGAAAGUGGGGCGAAAAAGUCCAGAUUCCACAAAGGUCAGUUGACUUCCAUACAUGAUGUAUUUAUCGACUAUUCAAAGGCUACAAGAGUAUUUUGAGAUUGAUUACGUACAGAUGGGGAAACUGCGACUUUUUCUAGCAUUUCGAAAUGCUUUCAGCAGAAGAUAUCAAAAGCUAAAUAGCAAGACUGGUUUUGUGGCAUCACUCAUUUUCCCCAAACAAGUCACAUUCACACUAUUAAAAACUGCACGUAAGAAGGUACCAAAACACGACACUGACAUGGUCAAACUUCUGCCCAAUCUGAGUUUAAGAAAUUGUGAAGAUUGGCAGACGAGGAAAGGGGAGGGAGGAGAGGAGGGGAAGGUGGCACUGAAUGUCUGGCUGGUGCUAAAUAAAAUCAGAUUAACAAACAAA